GGGGAGGUCGCUGUGCCCCCGCAGUGUACACGCAAUAUUCUGUGCGGGGCGUUCACAGAACAACGCUCUCGAAGCAAGGAACGGCGGCAAUGGGGCUUAUAUAUAGAUUUUGGAUUUUGGAGCCUCUGCUCUUUAGUUAGCUUUGUGGAUUGUCUUAGAAACACACGUGAGUUCACAUGUGAUGGAGUAAAACACGCAGUGAGUCAUUACAUUGAUGCCGUUAAAUUGAAAUGCACAGCUUGUUUAUUCGCCUGAGAAGUGACAUCACAUGUCUGUCCUCGCUUUUCACUGGCUGAACAAAGUCACAAAGGGGAUGGAUGAGCUGCUCUUAAUUGUACAUGAAAGCUGCGAUGGAGCCAGGAACAUAAUCCAAGUCUCCUGACUCCUGGAUUUGAACUUUAAAAACCAGAUCGUGUUUCCUUUGUGCUUUCUGUCUGCACACUGACCUUUAGGAAUCGUACUACCUACAAGUUCCCAGAAGAGAUCCACUUUCCUUUGACAUGCUUUCCUGGUAUCAAUUACGCUUUUCUUCUGAUUAGUAUUUUGAGCAUAUAGAAUGCACAGGGGGAGCAAAUGAAAAUGGUAUUUUCUGUAGAGGCACUGGGGAUGAGUUCUGCUCCCUGUAGGUGACACUGAUGGGUAAUAGGAAGUGGUAGGUGUCAUCAAUCCUGGGCACUACUUCCUUAAUUCUGGAGAAACAGUGUUUCUGCAAAUAUGGAUGCACCUCCUCAGUCCUCAAUACAGGGAGAGAACAGACUGUGCUCACAGUGCUGAGAUGAGAGGGUGUGGAUCUGGGCUGGAUAUGGCCAGGAGGUGCUGCUCUGACCUUCUCUUUCACUCCUCACACCUUCUGAGAAGCAAAGGACUAUCCCCUGCUUUUCAUGUCUCCUUAAUGGUAUAGAGAUGACAAGGAAGAGAAAGGAUGCUUGAAAAUUAGAAAACCCCAAGAUCAGACAAGAAAAGAUGCCAAGAUUGAAUCGCUCUGUCAUGAUGAAAACCCAGGAGCUUGGAUCGUUCUGAGUCUGAGGGGGAAACAAGACCUCUCUGAUGAGAAGUCAGGCUACAGCUGUGUGGAUGACUGCCUUGUAAAACUGCAAGAGCUCGAGCAUAGGGGCCAGCAAAUCAGAGUGGAACGAAACCUGAGCAAAUCGAAGUCGUGCUCCACAGGCAAAGAGAGAUCACCUUAUAUGGGAACAUCCAUGGACAAGAAGAUGAAUGCAUCUGCCCUUGCUGCUGAGGUCAGAUCCCAAACAGAUAGAAGAUGUUAAUGUGAAAAUGAGAGUGUUUAGGAAGCAAAGACAAUGCUCACUGAAGCUUAUUUUAUACA